AUUGAACGCUGGCGGCAUGCCUAACACAUGCAAGUCGAACGGCAGCACGAGUAAGUUUACUUACUUGGUGGCGAGUGGCGGACGGGUGAGUAACGCGUAGGAAUAUGCCCGAAAGAGCGGGAUAGCUUGGGGAAACUCAGGGUAAUACCGCAUAUAAUCUUAGGAUGAAAGCUGGGGACCGCAAGGCCUGGCGCUUUAGGAGUAGCCUGCGUCUGAUUAGCUAGUUGGUGUGGUAAAGGCGCACCAAGGCGACGAUCGGUAGCUGGUCUGGGAGGAGGGACAGCCACACUGGGACGGAGACACGGCCCAGAGUCCUACGGGAGGCAGCAGUGGGGGAUAUUGGACAAUGGGGGCAACCCUGAUCCAGCGAUGCCGCGUGUGUGAAGAAGGCCUGCGGGUUGUAAAGCACUUUCAGUGGGGAGGAGGGUAAGCAAGUUAAAAGCUAGAGUUACUGGACGUUACCCACAGAAGAAGCACCGGCAAACUCCGUGCCAGCCGCCGCCGUAA
rnacentral:rRNA from 1 species